UUGAUCAAUGGAUUCGUCAAUAAUUAUGUUUCUUUAGUUUAUGAAAUUCGAUAAUGACCUGAUUCUUGAUGAAACGCUAAUCUGGGUUAUGACCUGAUUCUUGAUGAAACGCUAAUCUGGGUUAGUAACCCCUGUCUGUACUCCAUUAAAUAAUCUGUAGCAACCCAUAUGAAAUUCGAUAACUACCGUAGGAGCUCUCUCUGCGCCAGAUUUACGCAGUUGAGAGGAAAAGUGACCGGAGAGUGAAAUCCACCCGACCGUUCCUUCUUUCUAGAUUAUCCUCUGAGAUGCUUUCAAGGUUGUUUAUUCGCUCGCCCAGUUUAUGAAUGCUUUCAUCGAUGGUUUGAGAUUUCUUCAUCAAACUCUAAAUUGGGUUCUUGCGAUGAAACUAUGGAAAUUGUACAUGGACCGGAUGGGAACCAAUUCUCGAAGCUUAAAUAAAUUUAAUUCCUCACUUGGUAAGUUUGUUUAUUUGUUUUCUUUAAUGUACUAUAACC